rnacentral:rRNA from 1 species
CUACGGGGCGCAGCAGUGAGGAAUAUUGCACAAUGGGGGGAACCCUGAUGCAGCAACGCCGCGUGGAGGAUGACGCAUUUCGGUGUGUAAACUCCUUUUAUAUGUCAAGAAAAUGACGGUAGCAUAUGAAUAAGCACCGGCUGACUCCGUGCCAGCAGCCGCGGUAAUGCGGAGGGUGCAAGCGUUACUCGGAAUCACUGGGCGUAAAGGACGCGUAGGCGGGUUGGAAAGUCAGGUGUGAAAUCCUACAGCUUAACUGUAGAACUGCACUUGAAACUUCUAAUCUAGAGUAUGGGAGGGGGAGAUGGAAUUAGUGGUGUAGGGGUAAAAUCCGUAGAUAUCACUAGGAAUACCUAAAGCGAAGGCGAUCUCCUGGAACAUUACUGACGCUAAGGCGUGAAAGCGUGGGGAGCAAACAGGAUUAGAUACCCGAGUAGUC